rnacentral:rRNA from 1 species
AUUGAACGCUAGCGGGAUGCCUUACACAUGCAAGUCGAACGGAGUGGCGAACGGGUGAGUAAUGUAUCGGAACGUGCCCAGUAGCGGGGGAUAACUACGCGAAAGCGUAGCUAAUACCGCAUACUAUUGGACCGGCCGAUACCGGAUUAGCUAGUUGGUGGGUUAACGGCUCACCAAGGGGACGAUCCGUAGCUGGUUUGAGACGACGACCAGCCACACUGGGACUGAGACACGGCCCAGAAUCCUACGGGAGGCAGCAGUGGGGAAUUUUGGACAAUGGGGAAAACCCUGAUCAAGCCAUCCCGCGUGGUGGAUGAAGGCUGUCGGGUUGUAAAGCACUGUUGGCAGGAAAGCGGUACCUGCAGAAUAAGCACCGGCUAACUACGUGCCAGCCGCCGCGGUAAUAC